GAUGAGCCUAGGUCGGAUUAGCUAGUUGGUGAGGUAAUGGCUCACCAAGGCUACGAUCCGUAACUGGUCUGAGAGGAUGAUCAGUCACACUGGAACUGAGACACGGUCCAGACUCCUACGGGAGGCAGCAGUGGGGAAUAUUGGACAAUGGGCGAAAGCCUGGUCCAGCAAGGCCGCGUGUGUGAAGAAGGUCUUCGGAUGUAAAGCAAAUGGAGUGGGAGGAAGGGCAUUAACCUAAUACGUUAGUGUUUGACG
rnacentral:rRNA from 1 species